GUGUCAGCAGCCGCGGUAAUACGGAGGGUGCAAGCGUUAUCCGGAAUCACUGGGUUUAAAGGGUGCGUAGGCGGUGGCGUAAGUCAGUUGUGAAAUUCCCCGGCUUAACCGGCGGGACUGCGAUUGAUACUGCGUCACUUGAAUCAGGAUGAGGUAGGCGGAAUGUGACAUGUAGCGGUGAAAUGCUUAGAUAUGUCAUAGAACACCGAUUGCGAAGGCAGCUUGCUGGACCUGUAUUGACGCUGAGGCACGAAAGCGUGGGGAGCAAACAGGAUUAGAUACCCCCGUAGUCC
rnacentral:rRNA from 1 species